rnacentral:lncRNA from 1 species
AUGCCUCGUCCUUCAUCUCCGGCCAUGGAUCUCCAACCGUGGUUGCUGGGUGUCCAUGGAUCUCUUCUCUGUUUCUUCAUCUCCCCUCCAUCUCAUUACUCGUGCGUUUAUUUUGUGUCCUAUCUGUAGAAAAAGAAGCUCUUGCUGCUGCUGCAGGUGGACAAUGAAGGAAGCCCUCAUCCUCAUGCCUGUUGCUGCUGCUUGCUGAGUUUGUUUGGUGGACAUCCGAUUCCUGCUGCAGGUGGAAUUUUUUGCCGUACUACUCGAGUUAACUCAAAUUAGUGUUAUUUGUAGUGCUCAAUUUGUUGUAUUACUUUAGUGGAGUACCAGUGACAUUACUUGCAAUAUUUAUAGCUUGGUGUAGUACUGCUUGAUCUACAAUUAGUGCAACAUUAGGUAGUAGUGCUUGAACAAAUGUUAAUAUUGUAUUUAAAAAAUGUUGUUAUGACUAUUUUAUUUGUUGUGAAUGGAGUUCUUGAUGAUUUAGAUUCUUAGAAAUAAGAUUGUUGCUUCAUAUCAUAUUGAAAUUUAUUCAUGCAUGUGUCGGAUCUUUCUGGACAUUAUGAACAUGAAACAUGGCCUAUAUAUUUUUUAAGUGCACCCACAAAAUAAGAUUGUACCUUCGUUAGAAGCAAAGUGCAAGUUGUAUUAGAAAUAAAACAGAAACACUAUUCUUCUUUAAUUUAUGAUGUUCGACAAUUUAACAUCAUGAUGAGAAUAGCUUGUUUUUGUGCCUUGUUUCUAUUCUUGAUUUGUAUCGUGUAGCUCUUAAAAAUAUGGUUGUUUCUUUUACAGGAUCUCCAUGCCUAAAAAAGUUGAAGUGCGAAGCCCUGAAGCAAAUUGUGUGAAACACUACUUAUCCAAGAAUGCAUAUUAUAUAUUGUAAUAGUAGGCAUAUCUGCUUUGUAACAGGCUAGAAAAAUUAUAAUAUAC